GACGAACGCUGGCGGCGUGCUUAACACAUGCAAGUCGAACGGAAAGGCCCUGCUUUUGUGGGGUGCUCGAGUGGCGAACGGGUGAGUAACACGUGAGUAACCUGCCCUUGACUUUGGGAUAACUUCAGGAAACUGGGGCUAAUACCGGAUAGGAGCUCCUGCUGCAUGGUGGGGGUUGGAAAGUUUCGGCGGUUGGGGAUGGACUCGCGGCUUAUCAGCUUGGUGGUGGGGUAGUGGCUUACCAAGGCUUUGACGGGUAGCCGGCCUGAGAGGGUGACCGGCCACAUUGGGACUGAGAUGCGGCCCAGACUCCUACGGGAGGCAGCAGUGGGGAAUAUUGCACAAUGGGCGGAAGCCUGAUGCAGCAACGCCGCGUGCGGGAUGACGGCCUUCGGGUUGUAAACCGCUUUCGCCUGUGACGAAGCGUGAGUGACGGUAAUGGGUAAAGAAGCACCGGCUAACUACGUG
rnacentral:rRNA from 1 species